AGUGAACGCUGGCGGUAGGCCUAACACAUGCAAGUCGAACGGCAGCACAGUAAGAGCCUGCUCUUACGGGUGGCGAGUGGCGGACGGGUGAGGAAUACAUCGGAAUCUACUUUUUCGUGGGGGAUAACGUAGGGAAACUUACGCUAAUACCGCAUACGACCUACGGGUGAAAGCAGGGGAUCUUCAGACCUUGCGCGAUUGAAUGAGCCGAUGUCGGAUUAGCUAGUUGGCGGGGUAAAGGCCCACCAAGGCGACGAUCCGUAGCUGGUCUGAGAGGAUGAUCAGCCACACUGGAACUGAGACACGGUCCAGACUCCUACGGGAGGCAGCAGUGGGGAAUAUUGGACAAUGGGCGCAAGCCUGAUCCAGCCAUACCGCGUGGGUGAAGAAGGCCUUCGGGUUGUAAAGCCCUUUUGUUGGGAAAGAAAAGCAGCAGGUUAAUACCCCGCUGUUCUGACGGUACCCAAAGAAUAAGCACCGGCUAACUUCGUG
rnacentral:rRNA from 1 species